rnacentral:lncRNA from 1 species
AAAUUAACUUUACAAGUAACAAUUUAACUUACAUGCUAACCUAUUAUUACUAGAGACUCAUAUGUUCCAGCUCAGAGAAACUCUCCAGCCAGCAGCACUAAAAUUACUUUAGAAUAGCUUUACCACAAUUACUAGGAGAACUCCUUUGGCCUUAAAUAAUAGCACAUGAAUAGCAGUAGCCUAUGAGGUUUUAAAGGCAACACACUCACGUAUAUCUUUCUUCAUUGGAUGUUUCCAUGAGAAAAGGUUUCUGCUUGGAUCAAGUGUGAGUUUUUGAAAUCCUCUGAGAACAUUGGGCUUACAGUCAAGGCCAGUGUCCUGACAUUCUGUGGCUGCUAGAAGAAAUCUAACACUAACUGUAAGUACUUCUCUUGAUCAUGCUAAAUUAGUGCAAAAGCCAGAUGAACAAAUGCUGCUGCUCCUCUGUUUCUCACAGGCAGAGUUCUGGUGCUUCCAAACAGUACUGCCCACUACCUCCACCCUCUCUGCCAUCCAGAACAACAGAAGCAAUUUUGAUGACGAUAGUCAUAGCCAUUCUUUUGGACUGUUCAAACUUUUUCAUCGCCUUUAAUAUGUUCAAGAUCCAGUAA